GGACGCUUAGCUCAGCUGGGAGAGCAUCUGCCUUACAAGCAGGGGGUCAUAGGUUCGAGCCCUAUAGCGUCCACCA
rnacentral:tRNA from 3 species